rnacentral:rRNA from 1 species
CCUACGGGAGGCAGCAGUGAGGAAUAUUGGUCAAUGGACGAAAGUCUGAACCAGCCAUGCAGCGUGCAGGAAGACGGCUCUAUGAGUUGUCAACUUCUUUUGUACGAGGGUAAACGCAGAUACGCGUAUCUGUCUGAAAGUAUCGUACGAAUAAGGAUCGGCUAACUCCGUGCCAGCAGCCGCGGUAAUACGGAGGAUUCAAGCGUUAUCCGGAUUUAUUGGGUUUAAAGGGUGCGUAGGCGGUCGGAUAAGUUAGAGGUGAAAUCCCGAGGCUCAACUUUGGAAUUGCAUCUGAUACUGUUCGGCUAGAGAGUAGUUGUGGUAGGCGGAAUGUAUGGUGUAGCGGUGAAAUGCUUAGAGAUCAUACAGAACACCGAUUGCGAAGGCAGCUUACCAAGCUCCUUCUGACGUUGAGGCACGAAAGCGUGGGGAGCAAACAGGAUUAGAUACCCUAGUAGUC